AGAGCGAACGCUGGCGGCAGGCCUAAUACAUGCAAGUCGAACGGACCCUUCGGGGUUAGUGGCGGACGGGUGAGUAACACGUGGGAACGUGCCCUUUGGUUCGGAACAACUCAGGGAAACUUGAGCUAAUACCGAAUGUGCCCCCAUCCUUAAACAAGAUGGGCGGGAAAGAUUUAUCGCCAUUGGAGCGGCCCGCGUCUGAUUAGCUAGUUGGUGAGGUAAAGGCUCACCAAGGCGACGAUCAGUAGCUGGUCUGAGAGGAUGAUCAGCCACACUGGGACUGAGACACGGCCCAGACUCCUACGGGAGGCAGCAGUAGGGAAUCUUGCGCAAUGGGCGAAAGCCUGACGCAGCCAUGCCGCGUGAAUGAUGAAGGUCUUAGGAUUGUAAAAUUCUUUCAGCGGGACGAUAAUGACGGUACCGCAGAAGAAGCCCGGCUAACUUCGUGCCAGCAGCCGC
rnacentral:rRNA from 1 species